GGUGGAGGGAUAGGGGAGAAAGGGGCCGGGGGAGCAGAGAGGGACUUUGAGCUUUCAAGGUCCAAGCCAGACUCUGUCUUCUCUCUUCCUGCUGCCUGUUGAUCCGGGUGCAGAACCCUCAGCUCCUUCUCCAGUGCCUUGCCUGCCUUCAGGCUGCCAUGCCUCCACCAUAAUGAUAAUGGACCAAGCUUCUGAAACUGUAAGACAAAGCCAAGUCCCAAGCACUGAGAUUACCAGUGGGCUGCCAUACCUGCCAGCUUUUAUGCCACUGGUAGGGGAAAUCCUCCUCCCCUACUGUCUGACCUAAUCUUUCAGGUCCCAUCACGACUGCCUGGAUUCUCUUCAUCUGUGGACUGGCUAGGUCACCCCACCAGGAAGAAAUGAUCAAGGAGCAGGGAACCGAGUUCAUGUCAGAGACUGUCUCUUCUCCCCUUACUAGAGGACCCACAUGGAGACUGAGGUGUCUAUGGGCUACAUCUGAGCAGGGGAUCUAGGUCCUCUCUAUGCAAGGUCUUUGGUUGAUGAUCAUUCAGAAGGGAAAACGUGAUAGACACCGGAAGCAGUAGAAGAGAGGGAACAGGACAGGAGCCUAACACAGAUGUCCUCUAAAAGACUCCACCCAGCAGGUCAAAGCCGAUGCAGAGAUUCACAGCCAAACUUUGGACAGAGUGCAGGGAGUCUUAUGGAAGGAGGAGGUAUAGAAGGACGCAGAGGGGACAGGAGCCCCACAAGGAGACCAACAAAGCCAAAAAAGCGUGGCGUGGCUGUUUGUGAUGGUGCCUACACGGCAGCUAAGCAGACUACUAGAAAAGGCUCUACUGGGACUCCUGGCUACAAAAACUUGCAUUCAUCCAUGGUCGUAUUUCAAGGGUGUGUUUUGUUAUAGUGUGGGAAGUAAACUCGAGAUGCAAGAGGCAUAUGAUCUUUUCACGUUGUACGGAGGCAUCACAAGACCCUCAAGACUUUCUUCUGCCUGUUAGUUAUUGUCACCCUGACACAAACUAGAGUCACCUGGCAACGGAGAACCUCCCCUGAGGAACGGCCUCUAUCGGAUUGGCCCGCAGGAACGGAGAACCUCCCCUGAGGAACGGCCUCCAUCGGAUUGGCCUGCAGGCAAGUCUGUGGGGGCAUUUCACUGAUUAGUGACCGCUGUGGGAAAACCCAGCCCACUGGCCAGCUGACCCUGGGAUCUAGAAGAAAGCAGGCCGAGCAAGCCAUGGACAGUAAGCCAGACAGUACCAUUCCUCCGUUCCCUAUGCUUCAGGCUCCUACUUGAGCGUUUGUGCCAGCCUCCGCUGGUGAUGGAUUGUUGAUUAUUACCUGGA